rnacentral:rRNA from 1 species
CGGCAACAGCUCAAAUUUGAAAUCUGCCCGCAAGGGCCGAGUUGUAAUUUGUAGAAGAUGCUUUGGGUGUGGCUCCGGUUUAAGUUCUUUGGAAUAUUACAUCACAGAGGGUGAGAAUCCCGUAUGUGACCGGUUGCCUCGCUCGUGUAAAGCUCUUUCAAC